GAAGCUCCUUCCUUGUGGUCCCUCACUGGUCUCCCCUGAGUCAGCCACACUGCCCCUUUUAUCCCCCACCAAGUAACCCAAAGGGCCAAUCAAGGGACAUGGGGGGUUAGUCUGUGGGGCCUGAUUGGUGAGGAAAGGAAAUCCCAAGUCCUCCAAUCAUCUUUUGCCCCUUCAAAACCCCUGGGCUAAGUCAUUGCCGGCUAGCCCGUCACAUCUAUCUUGUCCAGCGAUUUGUAGCUCACCUUCAC